AAGCUUGCUGGUUUAAAAGG
rnacentral:misc_RNA from 1 species